rnacentral:siRNA from 1 species
UUUGAUGGAUCAUCUGGAUGGAGA